GACGAACGCUGGCGGCGUGCUUAACACAUGCAAGUCGAACGGAAAGGCCCUGCUUUUGUGGGGUGCUCGAGUGGCGAACGGGUGAGUAACACGUGAGUAACCUGCCCCUGACUUUGGGAUAACUUCAGGAAACUGGGGCUAAUACCGGAUAGGAGCUCCUGCUGCAUGGUGGGGGUUGGAAAGUUUCGGCGGUUGGGGAUGGACUCGCGGCUUAUCAGCUUGUUGGUGGGGUAGUGGCUUACCAAGGCUUUGACGGGUAGCAGGCCUGAGAGGGUGACCGGCCACAUUGGGACUGAGAUACGGCCCGGACUCCUACGGGAGGCAGCAGUGGGGAAUAUUGCACAAUGGGCGGAAGCCUGAUGCAGCAACGCCGCGUGCGGGAUGACGGCCUUCGGGUUGUAAACCGCUUUCGCCUGUGACGAGGCGUGAGUGACGGUAAUGGGUAAAGAAGCACCGGCUAACUACGUG
rnacentral:rRNA from 1 species